CUUCCUGCCUUUACUGCACUUGUCAUUGAUACAAGCAAAAGACGAAGCCCUGCUUUUCUGUCCUCAGCACUGAGGCCUAAUGGAAAUGGUCAAACAUUUCUGGCAGGGUUAAGCCAAGGCCAAACAGAUGUCACUACACGGUGUGAUAUAAUGGACAGAAAAAAAAACUCCUAAAGAUAUUUGAAGUUUUUGCACAUGGGGGCCAUUUCUACUUAUGAAUUUGAAGCCUUCCACUCAGUGUAUUUGACAAGCUGAGUUCGACACUCAAUUAAGCAGGGUGUCAGUUUGUCAAAUACCCCAAGUGAGAGGCUGUCUGACAUCUGAAUGUUCUCCAAGUCCACAUGUGCCUCAAUCAACAGCUCUUCGCAUCUAAGAGGAUAGAUAAAGCAAUCUUCUCUACAACGUUUUUCGAGUAUAAAGCAAAACUUUUAUGCACUCAGCAUCUACAAUGAUACUAAACAGUUGCAUACUCAGCCAUUUUGACUUUUUUUAAGCAAAAAAUAUGUAAGCAAAAUAAAACAGAAGGUAAUUGAAAUUAUUUUAACAUGUGUAUGUUGUUUAUUCAGAAGACAGAAUAAAACUGAAAGGAUAA